rnacentral:rRNA from 1 species
UACAGAGGUCCCAAGCGUUGUUCGGAUUCACUGGGCGUAAAGCGUGCGCAGGCGGUUUUGUAAGCCAGAUGUGAAAGCCCCGGGCUCAGCCUGGGAAUGGCAUUUGGGACUGCAAGGCUUGAGUGCGGCAGAGGAGACUGGAAUUCCUGGUGUAGCAGUGAAAUGCGCAGAUAUCAGGAGGAACACCGGUGGCGAAGGCGGGUCUCUGGGCCGUAACUGACGCUGAGGAGCGAAAGCGUGGGGAGCGAACAGG